UACGUAGGGGGCUAGCGUUGUCCGGAAUCAUUGGGCGUAAAGAGCGUGUAGGCGGUCCGGUAAGUCCGCUGUGAAAGUCAGGGGCUCAACCCUCGAAGUGCCGGUGGAUACUGUCGGACUAGAGUACGGAAGAGGCGAGUGGAAUUCCUGGUGUAGCGGUGAAAUGGCGCAGAUAGUCGAGGAGGAACGACCGGUGGCGAAGGCGG
rnacentral:rRNA from 1 species